AGAGUUUGAUCCUGGCUCAGGAUGAACGCUGACAGAAUGCUUAACACAUGCAAGUCUUUGGCGAAGCUGUGCUUGCACAGCCUAGCCAAGGCGGACGGGUGAGUAACGCGUAAGGAACUUGCCCUGCAGUCAGGGAUAACAGACGGAAACGACUGAUAAGACCUGGUAAAGUCAGGCGGACUCAUGUCCAGCCUGAUGAAAAGAGAUGCUGCAGGAGAGCCUUGCGUCCUAUUAGCUUGUUGGUGGGGUAACGGCCCACCAAGGCGAUGAUAGGUAGCCGGCCUGAGAGGGUGGACGGCCACAAGGGGACUGAGAUACGGCCCUUACUCCUACGGGAGGCAGCAGUGGGGAAUAUUGGACAAUGGGGGGCCCUUACUCCUACGGGAGGCAGCAGUGGGGAAUAUUGGACAAUGGGGGCAACCCUGAUCCAGCAAUUCUGUGUGCACGAUGAAGGUUUUCGGAUUGUAAAGUGCUUUCAGCAGGGAAGAAAAAAAUGACGGUACCUGCAGAAGAAGCGACGGCUAAAUACGUGCCAGCAGCCGCGGUAAUACGUAUGUCGCAAGCGUUAUCCGGAAUUAUUGGGCAUAAAGGGCAUCUAGGCGGCCAGAUAAGUCUGGGGUGAAAACUUGCGGCUCAACCGCAAGCCUGCCCUGGAAACUAUGUGGCUAGAGUACUGGAGAGGUGGACGGAACUGCACGAGUAGAGGUGAAAUUCGUAGAUAUGUGCAGGAAUGCCGAUGAUGAAGAUAGUUCACUGGACGGUAACUGACGCUGAAGUGCGAAAGCUAGGGGAGCAAACAGGAUUAGAUACCCUGGUAGUCCUAGCUGUAAACGAUGAUUACUGGGUGUGGGCAUGAAGAGUGUCCGUGCCGAAGCUAAUGCGAUAAGUAAUCCGCCUGGGGAGUACGGCCGCAAGGCUGAAACUCAAAGGAAUUGACGGGGACCCGCACAAGCGGUGGAGCAUGUGGUUUAAUUCGACGCAACGCGAGGAACCUUACCAGAUCUUGACAUCCUACGUAGGCCUGUGAGAACAGGCUGUGCCUUCGGGAACGUAGAGACAGGUGGUGCAUGGCUGUCGACAGCUCGUGUCGUGAGAUGUUGGGUUAAGUCCCGCAACGAGCGCAACCCCU
rnacentral:rRNA from 1 species